rnacentral:rRNA from 1 species
GAUGAGCGCUGGCGGCGUGCCUAAUACAUGCAAGUCGAGCGAACAGACGAGGAGCUUGCUCCUCUGACGUUAGCGGCGGACGGGUGAGUAACACGUGGAUAACCUACCUAUAAGACUGGGAUAACUUCGGGAAACCGGAGCCAAUACCGGAUAAUAUAUUGAACCGCAUGGUUCAAUAGUGAAAGACGGUUUUGCUGUCACUUAUAGAUGGAUCCGCGCCGCAUUAGCUAGUUGGUAAGGUAACGGCUUACCAAGGCAACGAUGCGUAGCCGACCUGAGAGGGCGAUCGGCCACACUGGAACUGAGACACGGUCCAGACUCCUACGGGAGGCAGCAGUAGGGAAUCUUCCGCAAAGGGCGAAAGCCUGACGGAGCAACGCCGCGUGAGUGAUGAAGGUCUUCGGAUCGUAAAACUCUGUUAUUAGGGAAGAACAAAUGUGUAAGUAACUAUGCACGUCUUGACGGUACCUAAUCAGAAAGCCACGGCUAACUACGUG